rnacentral:rRNA from 1 species
UACGUAUGGUGCAAGCGUUAUCCGGAUUUACUGGGUGUAAAGGGAGCGUAGACGGAUAGGCAAGUCUGGAGUGAAAACCCGGGGCUCAACCCCGGGACUGCUUUGGAAACUGUUUAUCUAGAGUGCUGGAGAGGUAAGUGGAAUUCCUAGUGUAGCGGUGAAAUGCGUAGAUAUUAGGAGGAACACCAGUGGCGAAGGCGGCUUACUGGACAGUAACUGACGUUGAGGCUCGAAAGCGUGGGUAGCGAACAGG